UACGGAGGGUGCAAGCGUUAAUCGGAAUUACUGGGCGUAAAGCGCGCGUAGGCGGCUUCGUCAGUUGGAUGUGAAAGCCCCGGGCUUAACUGGGAACUGCAUUCAAUACUGCGGAGCUAGAGUAUGGUAGAGGUAGUGGAAGUUCCAGGUGUAGCGGUGAAAUGCGUAGAUAUCUGGAGGAACAUCAGUGGCGAAAGGCGACUGUCUGGACCAAUACUGACGCUGAGGUGCGAAAGCGUGGGGAGCAAACAGGAUUAGAUACCCCGGUAGUCC
rnacentral:rRNA from 1 species